AUUGAACGCUGGCGGCAUGCCUUACACAUGCAAGUCGAACGGUAACGGGCCUUCGGGUGCCGACGAGUGGCGAACGGGUGAGUAAUGUAUCGGAACGUACCUUUCAGUGGGGGAUAACGUAGCGAAAGUUACGCUAAUACCGCAUAUUCUGUGUGCAGGAAAGCAGGGGAUCGCAAGACCUUGCGCUGAUUGAGCGGCCGAUAUCAGAUUAGCUAGUUGGUGAGGUAAAGGCUCACCAAGGCGACGAUCUGUAGCGGGUCUGAGAGGAUGAUCCGCCACACUGGAACUGAGACACGGUCCAGACUCCUACGGGAGGCAGCAGUGGGGAAUUUUGGACAAUGGGGGCAACCCUGAUCCAGCCAUGCCGCGUGAGUGAAGAAGGCCUUCGGGUUGUAAAGCUCUUUCGGCCGGGAAGAAAUCGUAUCAGCUAAUACCUGGUGCGGACGACGGUACCGGCAUAAGAAGCACCGGCUAACUACGUGCCAGCCGCCGCGGUAAGAC
rnacentral:rRNA from 1 species